rnacentral:rRNA from 1 species
UACGUAGGGUGCAAGCGUUGCCCGGAAUUAUUGGGCCUAAAGCAUCCGUAGCCGGUCAUGCAAGUCCUCCGUUAAAUCCAGCCGCUCAACGGUUGGGCUGCGGAGGAUACUACGUGGCUAGGAGGCGGGAGAGGCAAGCGGUACUCAGUGGGUAGGGGUAAAAUCCUUUGAUCCAUUGAAGACCACCAGUGGCGAAGGCGGCUUGCCAGAACGCGCUCGACGGUGAGGGAUGAAAGCUGGGGGAGCAAACCGG